GAUGAACGCUGGCGGCGUGCUUAACACAUGCAAGUCGAACGAUGAAGCCCAGCUUGCUGGGUGGAUUAGUGGCGAACGGGUGAGUAACACGUGAGUAACCUGCCCUUAACUCUGGGAUAAGCCUGGGAAACUAGGUCUAAUACCGGAUAGGAGCGCCUACCGCAUGGUGGGUGUUGGAAAGAUUUAUCGGUUUUGGAUGGACUCGCGGCCUAUCAGCUUGUUGGUGAGGUAAUGGCUCACCAAGGCGACGACGGGUAGCCGGCCUGAGAGGGUGACCGGCCACACUGGGACUGAGACACGGCCCAGACUCCUACGGGAGGCAGCAGUGGGGAAUAUUGCACAAUGGGCGCAAGCCUGAUGCAGCGACGCCGCGUGAGGGAUGACGGCCUUCGGGUUGUAAACCUCUUUCAGUAGGGAAGAAGCGAAAGUGACGGUACCUGCAGAAGAAGCACCGGCUAACUACGUGCCAGCAGCCGCGGUAAUACGUAGGGUGCGAGCGUUAUCCGGAAUUAUUGGGCGUAAAGAGCUCGUAGGCGGUUUGUCGCGUCUGUCGUGAAAGUCCGGGGCUUAACCCCGGAUCUGCGGUGGGUACGGGCAGACUAGAGCGCAGUAGGGGAGACUGGAAUUCCUGGUGUAGCGGUGGAAUGCGCAGAUAUCAGGAGGAACACCGAUGGCGAAGGCAGGUCUCUGGGCUGUAACUGACGCUGAGGAGCGAAAGCAUGGGGAGCGAACAGG
rnacentral:rRNA from 1 species